rnacentral:rRNA from 1 species
GAGUUUGACCUGGCUCAGAUUGAACGCUGGCGGCAGGCCUAACACAUGCAGGUCGAGCGGUAGAGAGAAGCUUGCUUCUCUUGAGAGCGGGCGGACGGGUGAGUAAUGCCUAGGAAUCUGCCUGGUAGUGGGGGGAUAACGCUCGGAAACGGACGCUAAUACCGCAUACGUCCUACGGGAGAAAGCAGGGGACCUUCGGGCCUUGCGCUAUCAGAUGAGCCUAGGUCGGAUUAGCUAGUUGGUGAGGUAAUGGCUCACCAAGGCGACGAUCCGUAACUGGUCUGAGAGGAUGAUCAGUCACACUGGAACUGAGACACGGUCCAGACUCCUACGGGAGGCAGCAGUGGGGAAUAUUGGACAAUGGGCGAAAGCCUGAUCCAGCCAUGCCGCGUGUGUGAAGAAGGUCUUCGGAUUGUAAAGCACUUUAAGUUGGGAGGAAGGGCAGUAAAUUAAUACUUUGCUGUUUUGACGUUACCGUACAGAAUAAGCACCGGCUAACUCUGUGCCAGCCG